CCUCCAGACUCCUACGGGAGGCAGCAGUGGGGAAUAUUGGGCAAUGGGCGCAAGCCUGACCCAGCAACGCCGCGUGAAGGAAGAAGGCUUUCGGGUUGUAAACUUCUUUUCUUGGGGACGAAGAAAGUGACGGUACCCAAGGAAUAAGCCACGGCUAACUACGUGCCAGCAGCCGCGGUAAUACGUAGGGAGCAAGCGUUGUCCGGAAUUACUGGGCGUAAAGGGCGCGUAGGUGGGUGCUUAAGUCAGGUGUGAAAACUCUGGGCUCAACCUGGAGACUGCACUUGAAACUGGGUAUCUUGAGGGCAGGAGAGGAAAGUGGAAUUCCUAGUGUAGCGGUGAAAUGCGUAGAUAUUAGGAGGAACACCAGUGGCGAAGGCGACUUUCUGGACUGUACCUGACGCUGAGGCGCGAAAGCGUGGGUAGCGAACGGGAUUAGAUACCCCUGUA
rnacentral:rRNA from 1 species